CCUANGGGAGGCAGCAGUAAGGAAUAUUGCGCAAUGGGCGAAAGCCUGACGCAGCGACGCCGCGUGGGGGAUGAAGGUCUUCGGAUUGUAAACCCCUUUUAGGAGGGAAAAUGGGACGAGCAAUCGUCCGGAUGGUACCUCCAGAAAAAGCCACGGCUAACUUCGUGCCAGCAGCCGCGGUAAUACGAAGGUGGCAAGCGUUGUUCGGAUUUACUGGGCGUAAAGGGAGCGUAGGCGGUUGAGCAAGUCCAUUGUGAAAUCCCCCGGCUUAACCGGGGAACUGCUGUGGAUACUACUUGACUUGAGUGCAGGAGGGGAGAGUGGAAUUCCAGGUGGAGCGGUGAAAUGCGUAGAUAUCUGGAGGAACGCCGGUGGCGAAAGCGACUCUCUGGUCUGCAACUGACGCUGAGGUGCGAAAGCUAGGGGAGCAAACGGGAUUAGAUACCCGUNUANUC
rnacentral:rRNA from 1 species